rnacentral:rRNA from 1 species
CCUGCUGCUUGCUCCGGGUGGAUGAGUGGCGAACGGGUGAGUAACACGUGAGUAACCUGCCCCCGAUUUCGGGAUAAGCCCGGGAAACUGGGUCUAAUACCGGAUAUGACCUCCAGCCGCAUGGUUGGUGGUGGAAAGUUUUUCGAUCGGGGAUGGGCUCGCGGCCUAUCAGCUUGUUGGUGGGGUAAUGGCCUACCAAGGCGACGACGGGUAGCCGGCCUGAGAGGGCGACCGGCCACACUGGGACUGAGACACGGCCCAGACUCCUACGGGAGGCAGCAGUGGGGAAUAUUGCACAAUGGGGGAAACCCUGAUGCAGCGACGCAGCGUGCGGGAUGACGGCCUUCGGGUUGUAAACCGCUUUCAGCAGGGAAGAAGCGAAAGUGACGGUACCUGCAGAAGAAGUACCGGCUAACUACGUGCCAGCAGCCGCGGUAAUACGUAGGGUACGAGCGUUGUCCGGAAUUAUUGGGCGUAAAGAGCUCGUAGGUGGUUGGUCACGUCUGCUGUGGAAACGCAACGCUUAACGUUGCGCGGGCAGUGGGUACGGGCUGACUAGAGUGCAGUAGGGGAGUCUGGAAUUCCUGGUGUAGCGGUGAAAUGCGCAGAUAUCAGGAGGAACACCGGUGGCGAAGGCGGGACUCUGGGCUGUAACUGACACUGAGGAGCGAAAGCAUGGGGAGCGAACAGGAUUAGAUACCCUGGUAGUCCAUGCCGUAAACGUUGGGCACUAGGUGUGGGGGACAUUC